UACGGAGGGGGGCUAGCGUUGUUCGGAAUUACUGGGCGUAAAGCGCGCGUAGGCGGAUCUGCAAGUCGGGGGGUGAAAUCCCGAGGCUCAACCUCGGAACUGCCUUCGAUACUGCGGGUCUCGAGUCCGGGAGAGGGGAGUGGAAUUCCUAGUGUAGAGGUGAAAUUCGUAGAUAUUAGGAAGAACACCAGUGGCGAAGGCGGCUCACUGGCCCGGUACUGACGCUGAGGCGGCGAAAAGCGUGGGGAGCAACAGGG
rnacentral:rRNA from 1 species